AUUGAACGCUGGCGGCAGGCUUAACACAUGCAAGUCGAACGGAGUGGCGCACGGGUGAGUAAUGUAUAUCUAAUCUGCCCUACACUAGAUGACAACAGUUGGAAACGACUGCUAAUACUCCAUAGUGUAGGAUGAGGCUAUAUUGUAUCAGCUAGUUGGUGAGGUAAUGGUUCACCAAGGCUAUGACGCAUAACUGGUCUGAGAGGAUGAUCGGUCACACUGGAACUGAGACACGGUCCAGACUCCUACGGGAAGCAGCAGUAGGGAAUAGUGCUCAAUGGGGGAAACCCUGAAGCAGCAACGCAGCGUGGAGGAUGACACUUUGCGGAGCGUAAACUCCUUUUGUUAGGGAAGCGGUACCUAACGAGUAAGCACCGGCUAACUCCGUGCCAGCAGCCGCGGUAAUAC
rnacentral:rRNA from 1 species